rnacentral:rRNA from 1 species
GACGAACGCUGGCGGCGUGCUUAACACAUGCAAGUCGAACGGAAAGGCCCUGCUUUUGUGGGGUGCUCGAGUGGCGAACGGGUGAGUAACACGUGAGUAACCUGCCCUUGACUUUGGGAUAACUUCAGGAAACUGGGGCUAAUACCGGAUAGGAGCUCCUGCUGCAUGGUGGGGGUUGGAAAGUUUCGGCUGUUGGGGAUGGCCUCACGGCUUAUCAGCUUGUUGGUGGGGUAGUGACUUACCAAGGGUUUGACGGGUAGCAGGCCUGAGAGGGUUACCGGCCACGUUGGGAUUGAGGUACGGCCCAGACUGCUACAGGAAGCAGGAGUGUGGAACAUUGCACAAUGGGCGAAAGCCUGACGCAGAAAUGCCGCGUGCGGGAUGAAGGCCUUCGGGUUGUAAACAGGUUUCGCGUGUGACGAAGCGUGAGUGACGGUAAUGGGUAAAGAAGCACCGGCUAACUACGUG